GGAUGAAGAACGUAGUGAAAUGCGAUAAGUAGUGUGAAUUGCAGAAUUCAGUGAAUCAUCGAAUCUUUGAACGCACAUUGCGCCCCUUGGUAUUCCAUGGGGCAUGCCUGUUCGAGCGUCAUUUGUACCUUCAAGCUUUGCUUGGUGUUGGGUGUUUGUCCCGAGGGACUCGCCUUAAAGUAAUUGGCAGCCAGUGUUUGGUUUUGAAGCGCAGCACAAGUCGCGAUUCAAGGCUACACGCCCGCUUCCACAAGCCUUUUUUCACUCUUGACCUCGGAUCAGGUAGGGAUACCCGCUGAACUUAAGCAUAUCAAUAAGCGGAGGA
rnacentral:misc_RNA from 1 species